GCCCGGUUAGCUCAAUCGGUAGAGCGUGAGACUCUUAAUCUCAAGGUUGCGGGUUAGUUUAUCCUGUUCUUAUUCCCCUCUUAAAUAAGAGCGCAAAAGCUAACUGCAAUCAUUAGGUUCGACCCCCGCAUCGGGCU